rnacentral:rRNA from 1 species
GUCCACGCCUUAAACUAUGAAUACUAAGUGUCGGCGGGUUACCGCCGGUGCCGCAGCUAACGCAUUAAGUAUUCCGCCUGGGAAGUACGGCCGCAAGGUUGAAACUCAAAGGAAUUGACGGGGCCCGCACAAGCGGUGGAGCAUGUGGUUUAAUUCGACGCAACGCGAAGAACCUUACCCAGGCUGGACAUGCAGGUAGUAGAAGGGUGAAAGCCCAACGAGGUAGCAAUACCAUCCUGCUCAGGUGCUGCAUGGCUGUCGU